CACGGGGGGAGCAAGCGUUGUUCGGAAUCACUGGGCGUAAAGGGCGUGUAGGCGGUCAAGUAAGUGGAAUGUGAAAGCCCCCGGCUUACCCGGGGAUCUGCAUCCCAAACUGCUUGGCUUGAGUACGGGAGAGGAUAGGGGAAUUCCUGGUGUAGCGGUGAAAUGCGUAGAUAUCAGGAGGAACACCGGUGGCGAAGGCGGGUCUCUGGGCCGAUACUGACGCUGAGGAGCGAAAGCGUGGGGAGCGAACAGG
rnacentral:rRNA from 1 species